rnacentral:rRNA from 1 species
CCUACGGGAGGCAGCAGUGGGGAAUAUUGGACAAUGGGCGAAAGCCUGAUCCAGCCAUGCCGCGUGUGUGAAGAAGGCCUUCGGGUUGUAAAGCACUUUCAGUGGGGAAGAAAGCCUUGGGGCUAAUACCCUCGAGGAAGGACAUCACCCACAGAAGAAGCACCGGCUAACUCCGUGCCAGCAGCCGCGGUAAUACGGAGGGUGCGAGCGUUAAUCGGAAUUACUGGGCGUAAAGCGCGCGUAGGCGGCCUGAUAAGCCGGUUGUGAAAGCCCCGGGCUCAACCUGGGAACGGCAUCCGGAACUGUCAGGCUAGAGUGCAGGGGAGGAAGGUAGAAUUCCCGGUGUAGCGGUGAAAUGCGUAGAGAUCGGGAGGAAUACCAGUGGCGAAGGCGGCCUUCUGGACUGACACUGACGCUGAGGUGCGAAAGCGUGGGUAGCAAACAGGAUUAGAUACCCCUGUAGUC